GAUGAACGCUGGCGGCGUGCCUAAUACAUGCAAGUCGAGCGAACAGACGAGAGUGCUUGCACUCUCUGACGUUAGCGGCGGACGGGUGAGUAACACGUGGGUAACCUACCUAUAAGACUGGGAUAACUUCGGGAAACCGGAGCUAAUACUGGAUAAUAUUUAGCUUCGCAUGAAGCAAUAGUGAAAGACGGUUCUGCUGUCACUUAUAGUUGGACCCGCGUUGUAUUAGCUAGUUGGUGAGGUAACGGCUCACCAAGGCAACGAUACAUAGCCGACCUGAGAGGGUGAUCGGCCACACGGGGACUGAGACACGGCCCAGACUCCUACGAGAGGCAGCAGUAGGGAAUCUUCCGCAGUGGACGAAAGUCUGACGGAGCAAUGCCGCGUGAGUUAAGAAGGUUUUCGGAUCGUAAAACUCUGUUGUAAGGGAAGAACAAGUACGUUAGUAACUGAACGUACCUUGACGGUACCUUACCAGAAAGCCACGGCUAACUACGUG
rnacentral:rRNA from 1 species